rnacentral:misc_RNA from 1 species
AUUAUUAAAAGCCCGAAGGGCGUAUGUUUCAUUUAUUCGUGCUUAAUCAGUUUAUAAUUUAAUCAAUUCAUUAAUAUUAAGCUUAUCUGACUCAUCUGAAUCUUUUUAUUUAAUAUAUAAAACUUCAGCGGCAUGCCCUGGUAUUAUCCUAGAUCUUACUCUCAUUCUCUAACCAGCUGAAUUUGAUAACCUAUGAUUUUCUCCAAACUUAAUAGUAAAACGCUCCAUUUUUCCGAUCACAAAA